CCUGCGGAGGGAUCAUUACCGAGUUUACAACUCCCAAACCCCUGUGAACAUACCAAUCGUUGCCUCGGCGGAUCAGCCCGCUCCCGGUAAAACGGGACGGCCCGCCAGAGGACCCCUAAACUCUGUUUCUAUAUGUAACUUCUGAGUAAAACCAUAAAUAAAUCAAAACUUUCAACAACGGAUCUCUUGGUUCUGGCAUCGAUGAAGAACGCAGCAAAAUGCGAUAAGUAAUGUGAAUUGCAGAAUUCAGUGAAUCAUCGAAUCUUUGAACGCACAUUGCGCCCGCCAGUAUUCUGGCGGGCAUGCCUGUUCGAGCGUCAUUUCAACCCUCAAGCCCCCGGGUUUGGUGUUGGGGAUCGGCGAGCCCUUGCGGCAAGCCGGCCCCGAAAUCUAGUGGCGGUCUCGCUGCAGCUUCCAUUGCGUAGUAGUAAAACCCUCGCAACUGGUACGCGGCGCGGCCAAGCCGUUAAACCCCCAACUUCUGAAUGU
rnacentral:sRNA from 1 species